GGGGCGGAAGAGAUUUUUUUUUUUUUUUGAGAUCGUGGAGUCCCACCGUCAAGGCGGCAUUGCCACUGUAACCCUAACGUCGAAACCUCUGAACUCCUAAAGCACAUCGCCCAGCGCGAAAUCCAGGCGCCUCUUAAAACACCCCCAGGGUUAGUGACUCCACCAGCUCCCUCAGCAGGCCGUUCCAAUGUAUGACCAGCAGAGCAGUGAAAAAAGCUUUUUUUUCUGCUAUCUAAUCACAAUCUCCCCUGCCUCAGUUUGAGGCUCCCUCACUGCAGGCAGGGUAGAAGAGGCCGCACUAAAUCGGAGAGGGCGAUGAUGUUCCCCCUCAGUGCUUCCAGGCUAAGCUGCCCCAGGUCCCUCAGGUGCUCCUCAUCAAACGAGUGUGGAGAAAUUACGAUUUUUGGGGUUGCCAGAAGGUCCCUUUUAGUAGGCCCUUCGUGCUGAAUGUUAACUACAAAACACAACUUUUUUUUUCUUUUUGCUACUAAACCAGGACUGAUUCAAGGUCAUGACACACUUUAUUUUUUUUCCUCCUCGUAUGAUUUGACAGAUGAAUGUGUAAUCACCUUCAGUGCUGUGACUGUGUGGCCGCAGUGAAUGGCUUGAAAAAGUCUUGGAAAGGACUCCAAGGAUGCAAAUUUCCUGACCUGUGCAGCAGACAUAAGAACAAAAAUACCUUAAUAAACCCAAGAUUUAUUGCUACUACAGCUACUGGUGCUAACAAUUGUUAUGUUUGCUCCCUCAGGCCUCUGCCCAGGGAAAGGUUCCCUCAGGAAAACCGUCAGAGCUGCUGCUCCCAAACACCCUCUGCUUAGGCAGGUCUUCCUCAGCUAUAACCUCAGGUUUGAAGUGCUAAGACUUGGGAGGAAAGGAAGAUGAUACUUCCCAGAUCCAGUAAGGCACAGCUGAAAAAAUGUCGAAUGAAAGACCAGAAGAAUGCUGUGGGGCACAGAAGCCAUGAGAAGCUGUAGGUGAUAGGCUGAGGAUUCCCAGUCUGUUGUGUGGAGUCAGCAAGGUACAUAAAGUUAAUUCCCUUCCCUGGGGAUAGGAAGAUUGGAACACUCACCUAUGCCCUGGCAAUUGCCUCGGAGCUUUCAAAAUGGUGAGUCAGCUGGAGCCAGCAGUUCCAUGCCUUUUUUUCUUCCUAAGACUAUGAAAGUCUCACACAUCCUACAAGAUGUGUGAGCUACAUACAAGCUACAUCCUCCAAAACCUCUUUCUUGUGCAGAGACCUUCCCUGCUGCAUCAACAUAACCUGCAUGUAUCACUGGUGGGGAACUACUGUAGGGGAGAGGUGAGGGUGGAUGUGUUCAGUGAAAGCUGAGAGAUAACAUGGAGAUGAACCAUGACCAAUGCUCUAUGCUUGUCUAAAUUAUCUAGAAAACAUUCUGGAGAAAUGUGUUUGGUCUCUUGAUUGCAUCUAUUCAAUAUAAUCUCUCUAGGUAUUAUGUCAGUGCAUAAGCUCUCAAGUAUUAACAUUUAUGCAGACCUUCUCACUGAUGCAUUAAUCCUGCUGCA